CACCGGCACUCAGCUGCACCAAGGACGUUUUCACCACUCACGAGAAUGGACUGGCAUCACUGGCACUGAUGCCACCUUUAAAAUGUCAUUGCACACCCAGAAAGAGCACUGGCAUUCUGAAGCUGCCCAGCACAAUUCAUUACCUUCUCCCCAGACAUGGCAAACAGGUGAAAAUUGCCACCUUGUUUUGAGAACAGGGACUUUGGAUAACCCCUCUCUUCCCCCAGGAGCAUGCCAUCAGACCAUGCUAAUCUGCUCUGAAGUUGCCACCAGGAUCAGUAUGGUUUCCACGGUAUAGAGAAAUGCACAACAGUUCCAUAAGAAGGUCAAUGACUUCACCGCUCUGCCAAGGAGAAGACAGCCCAUAACAUGGCAAAUCGUUGACCUCGCCCUCUACAAGGAGGAAAUCCUAGUCUUGGAAGGAGAAGAUGAGGACUGCUCCUGUGGGGAUGAUGAGGCAUCCAAAUUUCACCAAACAAAUAACUUCCACAGCAACUUGCAUUUGAAUUCCACUGUCACUCCCAAUUAUUGCAAAUCAAUUAUAACCACAAGCCACAAUGCCUCCUCUUUCUUUUCCCUGGAAAGUCCCCUAGCCUCGCCAUGACCUUUAUGGAGAAACGCUCAGCUCCUUCAGAAGCAUUCUCCUGGAUUUCUGAGGAUAAGAGUGCUAAGGCCUCAAGGAAGGAUCAGCAACGCUGCCUCCUGUAGCUGCCACCAGUGCAGAUACUUGCAUUUCAGGGGGAAAUCAUUGACAUAGAGAGUGACGCUACACAAUAUGGUGAGCACCUCAUUGUGACAGUUCCACAGCUGGUGAAGGAAGAAACAGCCAGGCAGCUGGCACUCAGAUUACAACCGGAGACCAGGCAGAAAAGGGCAUUGUGGUGCUGGCAGUCAGGGACUUCAUCCAAAUGUACAGAGAGGAGCAUUAGUGACAGACAGGCAUAUCAGAUGCAAUGACCAGAAUCUGCAUCAAUGCAGUGAAUCCUUUCUAGCUGCCUCCAUAAACAGUUUGGUGGCUGCAAUGGAGAGCCAGGUCCAGGACUCUCAGGGCUGUUGGAAGGACCUGUAGACAGGCAGUCUGCCAUCCCAGCCAUUGAUCCUCAGGACUCAUAAAAAGACAGGAUAGUGCCAGGACGCACCGAACCAGAGGUGGAACCACAUACAGGCCCUUCUACACCUUCCACUCAGGAAACACACAAGUGGCUGGGCUCUCCAUGUCCACCCUGCCUCCCCCCUCUAAGCUCCCUCCUCCCAACAACCUCCCUCCCCCAUUGCAACUCUUGGACAUUCAAACCAAGGAUGGUCACCUUCCUGCCCUCUACAAGUCUGGUCUGUCCAGACACAUGUCCAUUGGGCUACUCUAAGGCUAAUGAGCUCAACUGCCAAGCGGGCUUCCUCCAACCCAGCUGCAGAAUCAGGGACAAUACUAAGAUGUAGUGGCAGGGAACAAGUGAAGAAAACCUCUUAAGGGUACUGUGGUGGCAUGGAUGAAAAAGGCUUGUGUGUCACCCUUAGUUUCUGCAUAAAUGUUCCAGAUUUUCA